rnacentral:lncRNA from 1 species
GCUUUUUACCCUUGCCCCUUUAUUCUUUCUUCUUACUCUUCUCCAUCUUUUUUGUCAGAAACCUGGAUGAAAUGCCUGGAGAUGAUGCAGCCAUUUUGCAAAGAUGAAGCAAAAAAGUCACCAUCUAGGGCUGGCGGGGCAGAAAGCUGCAAAGAUCCAUCAAGAACAGCUGACUGGCUUAAUUCCAGACUUCUUGUUAUCCAGGAAGGGCUGUGUGUUGAUCAACAGCCUCAGCUGCUGCUGUCCUGGACGCCCCACAUUCCCUUGAGGAGAUGCUUACCCUGACCAUGGCAGGUUUGAAUUUGAGCCAAGC